rnacentral:rRNA from 1 species
CCUACGGGUGGCAGCAGUGAGGAAUAUUGGUCAAUGGACGAGAGCCUGAACCAGCCAAGUAGCGUGAAGGAUGACUGCCCUAUGGGUUGUAAACUUCUUUUAUAUGGGAAUAAAAUGAAGUAUGUGUGCCUCUUUGCAUGUACCUUAUGAAUAAGGAUCGGCUAACUCCGUGCCAGCAGCCGCGGUAAUACGGAGGAUCCGAGCGUUAUCCGGAUUUAUUGGGUUUAAAGGGAGCGUAGACGGGUUGUUAAGUCAGGUGUGAAAGGUCGGGGCCCAACCGGGAGAUUGCAAUUGAUACUGGGUGUCUGGAGUACAGUAGGGGCAGGCGGAAUUCGUGGUGUAGCGGUGAAAUGCGUAGAUAUCACGAGGAACCCCGAUGGCGAAGGCGGCUUACUGGACUGUAACUGACGUUGAGGCUCGAAAGUGUGGGGAGCAAACAGGAUUAGAUACCCGAGUAGUC